UACGGAGGGAGCUAGCGUUAUUCGGAAUUACUGGGCGUAAAGCGCACGUAGGCGGCUUUGUAAGUUAGAGGUGAAAGCCUGAAGCUCAACUUCAGAAUUGCCUUUAAGACUGCAUCGCUUGAAUCCAGGAGAGGUGAGUGGAAUUCCGAAGUGUAGAGGUGAAAUUCGUAGAUAUUCGGAAGGAACACCAGUGGCGAAGGCGGCUCACUGGACUGGUAUUGA
rnacentral:rRNA from 1 species